GCCCAGCUUGCUGGGUGGAUUAGUGGCGAACGGGUGAGUAACACGUGAGUAACCUGCCCUUAACUCUGGGAUAAGCCUGGGAAACUGGGUCUAAUACCGGAUAGGAGCGUCCACCGCAUGGUGGGUGUUGGAAAGAUUUAUCGGUUUUGGAUGGACUCGCGGCCUAUCAGCUUGUUGGUGAGGUAAUGGCUCACCAAGGCGACGACGGGUAGCCGGCCUGAGAGGGUGACCGGCCACACUGGGACUGAGACACGGCCCAGACUCCUACGGGAGGCAGCAGUGGGGAAUAUUGCACAAUGGGCGCAAGCCUGAUGCAGCGACGCCGCGUGAGGGAUGACGGCCUUCGGGUUGUAAACCUCUUUCAGUAGGGAAGAAGCGAAAGUGACGGUACCUGCAGAAGAAGCACCGGCUAACUACGUGCCAGCAGCCGCGGUAAUACGUAGGGUGCGAGCGUUAUCCGGAAUUAUUGGGCGUAAAGAGCUCGUAGGCGGUUUGUCGCGUCUGUCGUGAAAGUCCGGGGCUUAACCCCGGAUCUGCGGUGGGUACGGGCAGACUAGAGUGCAGUAGGGGAGACUGG
rnacentral:rRNA from 1 species